CCCUUAGACGUUCUGGGCCGCACGCGCGCUACACUGACACAGGCAACGAGCUUUCCUUUACCGAAAGGUAUGGGUAAUCUUUUGAAACUGUGUCGUGCUGGGGAUAGAUCCUUGCAAUUUUUGAUCUUAAACGAGGAAUUCCUAGUAAGCGCGAGUCAUCAACUCGCGCUGAUUACGUCCCUGCCCUUUGUACACACCGCCCGUCGCUACUACCGAUUGAAUGGCUUAGUGAGGCCUCAGGAUCCGCGCUUAAUGUGUGGAGAAUUUGGACAAACUACGUCAUUUAGAGGAAGUAAAAGUCGUAACA
rnacentral:rRNA from 1 species